GUAGGGAAUAUUGGGCAAUGGAUGCAAGUCUGACCCAGCCAUCCCGCGUGCCGGAAGAAGGCCCUCAGGGUUGUAAACGGCUUUUGACGGUGAAGAAUCGACAGGAUGCGUCCUGUUUUGACGGUAGCCGUUGAAUAAGCACCGGCUAACUCCGUGCCAGCAGCCGCGGUAAUACGGAGGGUGCGAGCGUUGUCCGGAUUUAUUGGGUUUAAAGGGUGCGUAGGCUGGAAGGUCAGUCAGCGGUGAAAAGCUGUCGCUUAACGAUAGUCUUGCCGCAGAUACUUCCUUUCUUGGAUGAGGAGGAGGCCACUGGAACGGAUGGUGUAGCGGUGAAAUGCAUAGAUAUCAUCCAGAACACCGAUUGCGAAGGCAGGUGGCUGUACCUUAAUCGACGCUGAUGCACGAAAGCGUGGGGAUCGAACAGGAUUAGAAACCCGGGUAGUCC
rnacentral:rRNA from 1 species